rnacentral:rRNA from 1 species
UCCUACGGGAGGCAGCAGUGGGGAAUAUUGGACAAUGGGCGAAAGCCUGAUCCAGCAAUGCCGCGUGAGUGAUGAAGGCCUUAGGGUUGUAAAGCUCUUUUACCGGGAUGAUAAUGACAGUACCGGGAGAAUAAGCCCCGGCUAACUCCGUGCCAGCAGCCGCGGUAAUACGGAGGGGGCUAGCGUUGUUCGGAAUUACUGGGCGUAAAGCGCACGUAGGCGGCUUUGUAAGUUAGAGGUGAAAGCCCGGGGCUCAACUCCGGAAUUGCCUUUAAGACUGCAUCGCUAGAAUUGUGGAGAGGUAAGUGGAAUUCCGAGUGUAGAGGUGAAAUUCGUAGAUAUUCGGAAGAACACCAGUGGCGAAGGCGACUUACUGGACACAUAUUGACG